rnacentral:rRNA from 1 species
GACGAACGCUGGCGGCGUGCUUAACACAUGCAAGUCGAACGGAAAGGCCCUGCUUUUGUGGGGUUCUCGUGUGGCGAACGGGUGUGUAACACGUGUGUAACCUGCCCUUGUCUUUGUGAUAACUUCACGAAACUGGGUCUAAUACCGGAGAGGAGCUCCUGCUGCGUGGUGGUGGUUGGAGAGUUUCGGCGGUUGGGUAUGGACUCGCGGCAUAUCAGCUUGUUGGUGGGGUAGUGGCUUACCAAGGCUUUGACGGGUAGCCGGCCUGAGAGGGUGACCGGCCAAAUGGGGACUGAGAUACGGCCCAGACUACUACGGGAGGCAGAAGUGGGGAAUAUUGCACAAUGGGCGGAAGCCUGAUGCAGCAACGCCGCGUGCGGGAUGACGGCCUUCGGGUUGUAAACCGCUUUCGCCUGUGACGAAGCGUGAGUGACGGUAAUGGGUAAAGAAGCACCGGCUAACUACGUG